rnacentral:rRNA from 1 species
UACGUAGGGGGCUAGCGUUGUCCGGAAUCAUUGGGCGUAAAGCGCGCGUAGGCGGCUCGGAAAGUCGGGCGUGAAAUGCCGGGGCUCAACCCCGGGACUGCGUCCGAUACUUCCGAGCUGGAGGUAGGUAGGGGAGAUCGGAAUUCCUGGUGUAGCGGUGAAAUGCGCAGAUAUCAGGAGGAACACCGGUGGCGAAGGCGGAUCUCUGGGCCUUACCUGACGCUGAGGCGCGAAAGCUAGGGGAGCGAACAGG